rnacentral:rRNA from 1 species
AUUGAACGCUGGCGGCAUGCUUUACACAUGCAAGUCGAACGGUAACAGGUUAAGCUGACGAGUGGCGAACGGGUGAGUAAUGCAUCGGGAUGUGCCCGAUCGUGGGGGAUAACGCAGCGAAAGCUGCGCUAAUACCGCAUACGAUCUGAGGAUGAAAGCGGGGGAUCGCAAGACCUCGCGUUAAUGGAGCGGCCGAUGCCGGAUUAGCUAGUUGGUGGGGUAAAGGCUCACCAAGGCGACGAUCCGUAGCUGGUCUGAGAGGACGACCAGCCACACUGGGACUGAGACACGGCCCAGACUCCUACGGGAGGCAGCAGUGGGGAAUUUUGGACAAUGGGCGCAAGCCUGAUCCAGCCAUGCCGCGUGAGUGAAGAAGGCCUUCGGGUUGUAAAGCUCUUUCGCAAGGAAAGAAAACUUAGCCACUAAUACUGGCUGAGGAUGACGGUACCUUGAUAAGAAGCACCGGCUAACUUCGUGCCAGCAGCCGCCGUAAUAC